AGCUUCAUUGUUCCGGACACAGCGCGAAAGAUCACCUCGACUAGCACGCACACGAGUUUGUUUUCAUUGUAUCUUUAUUUAUAAGUGUUAUUUCGUGAAAUGUUUGUUUUUAAAACGUCAUAGAACUCUGAAAUGAAGUAAAUAACCGAUCGAUUUGAACAAAUGCCUCUGGACGACCACACACUCCGUCAGGUUUAGGUGUUAAUACUUUUCAUCAUGGCUUCAUCAUCACCUUUAAACAUCACAGUAAUAGUGCCAACAACUGAAGCCCCAAACCAUACUGUCAUAGUAGUGGUGAUUCUGCUGGUCUUGUGUACACUGGCUGCCUUGGUGUACCUGUUGUAUCGCUACCUGUGUCACAACAAAGGCAUCUACAGGACAGCAGGAGAGGCUGCGCCAGGUGUGGACCCAGACCGAGUCUACCAUGACACAGUCACUGAAAACAAGGAGUACUUCAUUUAAGUAAUGCAGAUUGCCAAGGAUACAUUGGCAGUGAAGGUCAUACUGAAUGGAUAUGACAUUUACGAUAGGUUUUUUUUUGCUGAGAAGAUUGAUGAAGCUGUGGCUGAGAGAGCAUUGCCACUGUGCAGACUGUGUGCUAAGGAGUUUACAUUAAGUCAAUGAUUGGGCAUUUUGUUUUGGCAUUUUAUCAACAUCAUGAUGCAUAAUUACGUACCGGUAUCAGAAGCACAGUAAGUUGGUCAGAUAGUGUAGCAAACCUUUUCUCUCUGUGCAACAGAUUUAUUUAUGUACCCGAGACCUGUUGGUGGUGGUGAGAUGCAAUGAAACCACCACCUCUGUUAAAUACACAAGUUAGUUGAGCAUGUUUGGCGUAUAAGCACACAACACCAUUCUCAAACAUUUUUGUUCACAAGGCAGGUAAUUUUCGCUUAUAAAUGCUUUUUUCUUAUGUGGCUGACCCUACUUUCACAUUAGCAAAUGACUUGGCACUUGUGGGUGUGUACUUUCAAGGCCAUCUGGGGGGGGGACUGUAUAAGUAUGAAACAUUUUGGGAAACAUUUUGCUAAAAAGUGUUGCUUUCCCCCAUGUAAGGAGAUUUCUGGGACACCCUGUUAUACAUAGUCAAUCAAUCUAACAGGGCACAUCUGGGCAACAAGAAACAUCUGUAAGUCACAUGUUCACAUAUUUUUGAUCACUUGAAAAAUGAGUGUCAUGUCGUAAGUUAUUUAAGGUGUCUAGAUGUCAGGAAAUGAAAUCAGGAAAUGAAAGCUGAAAUUCUGAUCGAUCGUCCUGUAUUCAUCUUUUGAUCUCAAACCAAAAUGUCUUCAGUGUCUCGCACAAAUAACAGAAUAGUCCUUGCCAUUCUAGUAUUUUCAGAGGGGACUGUAUUAUAUAGACACACAUACUCCUGAGGUCAGAAGUUUACAUGCACUCAUCAUGGGCAUGAACCAAUAUUGGGCUUUCAGUGAUUUCUUUGAACUUUUCUUUUUCUGGAUAAGAGGGAUUGUACAACAUACAUCUUUAAUAGAAAAUAACUCCAGUAAUUUGGUGUGCAAGUUUUAAUUUAUUUUGAGUUUUCUGAAAAUCAACACAGGGUCAAAAUUAUACAUACAGCAUACCUAAUAUUUGGUUAAACGUCCCUUAGCAAGUUUCCCCUUGACCAGAUGCUUUUGGUAGCCAUCAGCAAGCUUCUGUCAGAAUUCUGGUUAGAUAUUUGCCCACUCUUCUUGGCAGAAUUGGUAGUGUUCAAUUAAAUUUUUAUGUUUCCUGGCAUGGAUGCUACUUUCAAGCACAGGCCACAUAUUUUUUGAUAGGGUUGAGGUCAGGACUUGUUUUAAGCUUAAUGUUAACCUGCUUUAUCCACAACCGGCUUUGAUGCGUUUGGGGUCAUUAUCCUGUUGGAACACACAAUUUGUCCAAGUUUAAAAAAAAAAUUUGCUGAUGAUUUGAGGUUAUGCUGAAGAAUUCUAAGGUUGUUGUCCUUCAUUAUUUCAGUCACUUUAACCAUGCUUAACAAUUAAUACAGUGUUCUUGGGGCCUCACCUUUACUCCUCCAAAUGGUGGUCAUUGUGGCUAAACAACUUAAACCAGAAAACUACUCCAGAAGGCUUUUUCUUUAUCCAUGUGGUCAGCUGCAAACUUUAGUCAAGCUUGAAGGUGUCAGUUGUGGAGCAGGGGCUUCUUUCUUGAAUGGCAGCCUCUCGGUCCAUGAUGAUUUAAAACUCUCUUGACUGUAGACAGUGUUUCAGCAGCUUACAGUUCAUGACAGGCCUGGCCUUGGUGGUUCCUGGACAUCCAAACCAAUUUCCUCUCAGUUUGGGUCUUUUUCUAGACCUUGACAAAGUGGUUUCUCCUCCCAAUAACUUGUACUUGUCCAACAAACCCUUUUUAUAUUGACACAAAGAAGCUACCAGAUGGAGUCAGUCAUCAUCAAUAACAGGAAGUUAAGAUGCCUUGGCAAAUUAAGACAUUUUGGAACUUUCAGCACCACUGAAUUAAUAAUCCGUGUGGGUGUAUGUAAAUUUUUGAACCUGUGUGUAUAAUUCUGACCCGGUGUUCAUUUCAGAAAACCUAAAAUAAAUUAAAACUUGUGCACCGAAUCCUUGUUUUCUCUCUUAAAGAUGUAUGUUGUACAAUCUUUCUUCCCCAGGAAAAGACCAGUUCAAAGAAAUCACUGACAGCCCAAUAUUAACAUGACAUUCAUGUCUAUGGUGAGCAUAUGUAAAUUUCUUCUCACCUGUGUAUAUUUAAUUAAUACAGUACAACCCAGUGAUGCUGACAGCCAUGUAACAUUAUACAACCAGAAAUACAAAGACUGACAUCUUAUGAUAUUUACCUCAGGUGUGGCUGCUGCAUGUACAACACCAUCUGCAUUGUCUGCAAAUGUGAAGCUAGAAUUGGAACAUAGGAAAAUAUUAAGUUGUGCAUUUGUGGCUUCAUGUACUUGGUUAUGUUGUUACCUAACCAAAUCCAGCAAUCCAUCACUACCACCAAAACACUAGAUAUUUACUCACUAAAAGAAAACACAAAAAAGGUAUUUUGAGAAUCCUUUUAUUCUGUGCAUGCGUAAGCUAUUUUAAAGGCUGUUUAUUAUUAAAAAUAUUACACUCACUCACAUAUCCAGCUUAUGACAACACUGUGCAUUGAGUCUAUUUUUAUUUUCCUGUAUCUAUCUCAUCUCAUCUCAUUAUGUCUAGCUGCUUUGUCCUGUUCUACAGGGUCGCAGGCAAGCUGAAGCCCAUCUCAGCUGACUACGGGGAAAGGCGGGGUACACCCUGGACAAGUCGCCAGGUCAUCACAGGGCCGACACAUAGACACAGACAACCAUUCACACUCACGUUCACGCCUACGGUCAAUUUAGAGUCACCAGUUAACCUAACCUGCAUGUCUUUGGACUGUGGGGGAAACCGGAGCACCCGGAGGAAACCCACGCGGACACGGGGAGAACAUGCAAACUCAGCACAGAAAGGCCCUCGCUGGCCACGGGGCUCGAACCCGGACCUUCUUGCUGUGAGGCGACAGCGCUAACCACUACACCACCGUGCCACCCUUCCUGUAUCUAUAAAUCACAAAAAUUGGUGCUUAAUGUCAGGGUUUUUUUCUUCUGCAAUCCCACUAGUAACUAAUUUUUUUUUUGAAUAGUAGGACAAUAAUCAAGCUGUAAUAUCAGAUUGAAAGUUAAGUUCAUGCUUUAUUAGGAAUGCUUGUACACCUGCUCAUUUAUGCAGUUAUCCAGUCAGCCAAUCAUGUGGCAGCGGUAUGGUGCAUAAAAUCAUACAGAUGCAGGUUAAGAGCUUCAGUUAAUGUUCACACGAUGCAUCAGAAUGUGAUCUCAGGGACUUUAACCUUGACUUGGUUGUUGGUGUCAGAUGGGCUGGUUUGAGUUUUUCAGUAACUCGAUCAUCUGGAAUUUUCACACACCGCAGUCUCUGGAAUUUACCAGAAUGGUGUGAAAAACAAAAAGCACUGAGUGACAGUUCUCUGCAUGGAAACACCUUGUUGAGAAGAGAGGUCAGAGGAAAAUGGCCAGAUUGAUUUAAGCUACCAGGCAGGAUAUAAGUAACUCAUAGUUACUCUGGAACUGUGGUGAGCAGAAAAGCAUCUCAGCAUGCACAAUACAUCGAACAGGACUGGAACCUAUUGUGGUCGUCUGCUCUUGUAGAUUAUCCACCUCAAAGUUUGCUGUUUUGUACGUUCUGAGAUGCUUUUUUAAUUACCAUGGUUGUAAAGAGUGGUUAUUUGAGGUAAUGUACUGUAUCCCUCCUGUCAGCUCAGACCAGUCUAGUCAUUCUCCUCUGAUCCCUUUCUCAUCAACAAGGCUGUAGACCUUCCACACACAGGAUGUUUUUUGCACCAUUCUAUGUACUGUUGUGUGUGAAAAUCCCAGGAGAUUGGCACUUUCUGAAAUACUCAAACCAGUCCAUCUGGUACCAACAAUCAGGCCAUGGUUAGAGUCAGAGAUCACACUUUUAGCCAUCCUGAUGUUUGAUAUGAACAUUAACUGAAGCUCUUAUCCUGUAUCUGCAUGAAUUUUUACCCUGUGCUGCUGCCACAAUUGGCUGAUUGGAUAACUGCAUAAAUGAGGUGUACAGAUGUCCCUAAUAAAGUGGAUGGAGUGUGAAUAUAAUGGUGAUAUGUGCUACUGCCUAAAUAUACUUAAAGUAUUGAUGUCUGCUGUCCUGGAGAACAUGCAGCAUAUCACCAUUUAGAUGAAUAUCAAAACAUUGAGUAAAAAAUAACUUUUAUAGAAUUUGUUUAAAUUUCCAAAAUAGCUUUUAUUGUUAAUUAGGUUUAGUAAUUAUUUAAAAAAAACCUUAGUGGUAAUUGUAGAGUUUUACCUUUUUAAAAAUAUUAAAUAUAACCCACCUAUUUAAAAAACAACUCCCUGAACUCCAGUUAUUUGUUGAACCUUGUUAUAUUAGAUCCCAUAAAUGCACACUGCAAGUCACGAGUAUGGGGUACUGGUGAUCUUGGUAUAUUGCAUAAAUGCUUCUUUCCAAUGCUAAUUAUAAUCAUGUGCAGGUCUGAAACCUUUGCUGCCUUUUAUGCUGUUUUAGCAUGAACCUCUUUAAAAUGAUGUAUACAUCAGAGUAAAAUAUUUAACAACCUGUUCUAUUGGUUGUUAAAUAUUGUACACUUGUUCAUUUAUGCAGUUAUCCAGUCAGCCAAUCAUGUGGCUGACCUAUUGUCGGAUACCCAGUAGAGCUGCUGUUAAAUGCAAGUUUUCAGGAAAAAACUGAAAUGAACACUAACAAAACAUGAGGUGGUCUGUAUAAUGAGCUAAAUAUCAGUACAUACUUUCACAGUACAAGCAGCUGAACAGCUAGUAAAAUUGGUGCAUUUUAUGUACAAAACUGGUUUCCUGCUACAGAUGCAUAUUCAGUAUUCUGGGUGGGGUUAAUGGUUAGAGCAUUAGGAUCUCUUUGAUAGAUAGUUGGUAUCAAGUCCAUUGCUUGAUUUUAAUAUUGAAAUUGAAAAGCAUCAGUUCCAAUCUGUUACAAGUAAUUGCGUCAACCCAGCAGACAACAAACGGAUCAGAAAACCAUAUAAGAAUCUGUAUGUAUUUGCAGUGGAAGGUAUGUAAUGAAACAACUUUGAAAAAGCAUCCACACAACAAAAUUUAAUGACAGACACUGUAUUUGCAUGUAUAAAGCAUGAGUAUACAAAAAAAAAAUUGACAUUGCAGAGUUGGUUGACAGUGCACAUUAAUGUGUAGUAUUUCUAAAAAUUACUGCUGAUAAAUCUUUAUUAAAACAAAAUAGCUUUGAAUAAAAGUGCAAAAAGCAUGCAGAACCAUCAUGAUGCAGUUAUCAAUAUGUUUCUGAUAUGUUUAUCACUUAUCAUAAUGUGCAGAAUUAUUCAGAGAAGAAUGUCAAGUCACAUUAAAAGCUUUUAGUGCAUUCUAAUCCGGAUCUUUGGUACAACCGCUCCUUGGUUAUACAUUUCAAUGUUCACUAGAGGGAGAAAUAACUGUUUGAUGUGCUUAAGCACAUUCUUUAUUAAAAAAAAAAGGCUUGUUUAACCUCUAAACUUCUGAUUAAUUCAACGUUGAGAAUAAUGCUAAAGAAAUUAAAUUGUGACGAACAAACCCUUUGGGAGAAGUAAACUUUCACUAAACUAAAGUUAAACAAGGAUUAUAUACAGUUCUGGGUAUCCGACAUGAUGUGGACAUAAUUAAAAAGCCAACCAACAUUCUGAAUCGAAUAUGAGGGCUUAUUUACUGCAUUUUAAUCUGUAAUAUUAAAGUUGUGGUUCUCAAUUUUGACAGCCAAGUCUAUUUCUCUCAUCUUUCCCAGAAGUACAGUACUCUAAUUAGAAUGGGUAAAAUAUUCCACUAUAUAACUGCUGUUAUUGUAUGUCAUUAAAAUAAAUAUAUUAUUAGAAGCCAUUUUAAUAGCUACAACGUGUAAAUAAAUGAUGGGGCAGAGCUAACUUAAGAACAAUAGUAGUAAAUGUGUGGUUGAACAUGAAAAAAAAAACAUUUAUCUGCCACAUAGAUAGAAAUUAACUAAAAAUGUGUUUUCCAACCAUAAACAAACGUGGUCUAAAAGAAGUUUGCAGUGUUUUAUCAUGUAUUUUAAACUGAAAGAUAUCAACAAAGGACUGUCCUGUUAGUGGGGACUAUAAAACAUUACAUUCUGUUGUAUCACUAUCAUGGCAUAGCCAAGCUGCCCUGAAGGGGCAGGAGAGAAGGGGGAGAGAGAGAGAGAGAGAGAGAGAGAGAGAGAGAGGGGGGAAAAAAAAAAAGAGAGAGAGAGAGACCACCAGACAAGGGGAAAAGUCAAGGUCCAAU